rnacentral:rRNA from 1 species
UACAGGGGGUGCAAACGUUGCUCGGAAUCAUUGGGCGUAAAGCGCACGUAGGCGGUUCGUUAUGUCGGAUGUGAAAGCCCUUGGCUUAACCGAGGAAGUGCAUCCGAAACUGGCGAGCUAGAGUACGAAAGAGGAUCGCGGAAUUCCCGGUGUAGAGGUGAAAUUCGUAGAUAUCGGGAGGAACACCGGUGGCGAAGGCGGCGAUCUGGGUCGAUACUGACGCUGAGGCGCGAAAGCGUGGGUAGCAAACAGG